UACGUAGGGUGCGAGCGUUGUCCGGAAUUAUUGGGCGUAAAGAGCUUGUAGGCGGUUUGUCGCGUCUGCUGUGAAAAUCCGGGGCUCAACCCCGGACUUGCAGUGGGUACGGGCAGACUAGAGUGUGGUAGGGGAGACUGGAAUUCCUGGUGUAGCGGUGGAAUGCGCAGAUAUCAGGAGGAACACCGGUGGCGAAGGCGGUUCUCUGGGCCUGUACUGACGCUGAGGAACGAAAGCGUGGGGAGCGAACAGG
rnacentral:rRNA from 1 species